UCUAUUUCACGCCUGCGCCGCCGCCACACCGGCCUCGCUAGUUCCCACGCUGCGCCCACCACCGCGACGGCCUCCCCACGCUGCACCGUCUCCGCGACGGCCUCAUCCAUGGCGUGUUGCUGCCGGCAACGGCCUCCACGCUGUGACGCCUAGAAGCCCGCGUACCCAUGCCCACGGGCGGACAGGACUCCUCGCUACCAGCGCCGCCGCCGCCCCCAUGGGCUUCCCGAUGGCCGUGUCGUCUUAGGCUGCUACUCCGGCAGCCGCAGAACCACCACCGUGAGGGGCCUCUCCGACAUCUGCAUCACCGGCACCCCUUUGGUCCCCUCCCAUGUCCAAUCCGCACGAGGUUGCUGUGUCUUCAAUGAUGCCAACUCCAAGCAUUGGGCUUCGCUUUUUGCAUAGUGGACAUGGUUACUAUGAACUUAGUACAGUUAGCUGGACUUGCUUUGUAGUUGACUUCAAUACUGCUCUGAAUCCACAAUAUAUUAGCUGUCAUAUUUGUUGUAUUCCUAGUGUCGCAAACAAUUAAUAUUAGUUGUCAUACUUUUGUAUUCCUAGUGUCGCAAACAAUUAAUAUGUAUUGAUAUGUUGGUGUUUGGAUUUUUGACAUGAAUGUGAUGAAUUACAUGUGUUAGUUACCUGCUGAUUUAA